rnacentral:rRNA from 1 species
GACGAACGCUGGCGGCGUGCUUAACACAUGCAAGUCGAACGGAAAGGCCCUGCUUUUGUGGGGUGCUCGAGUGGCGAACGGGUGAGUAACACGUGAGUAAUCUGCCCUUGACUUUGGGAUAACUUCAGGAAACUGGGGCUAAUACCGGAUAGGAGCUCCUGCUGCAUGGUGGGGGUUGGAAAGUUUCGGCGGUUGGGGAUGGACUCGCGGCUUAUCAGCUUGUUGGUGGGGUAGUGGCUUACCAAGGCUUUGACGGGUAGCCGGCCUGAGAGGGUGACCGGCAACUUGGGACUGGGGUUCCGGCCCAACUUCUACCGGGAGCAAGAGUGGGGAAAUAUUGACAAAGGGCCGGAGGCCGGAGGAACAACGCCGCCUGCGGGGAUGCGGGCUUUGGGGUUUUAAACGGUUUUGCCCGUUAACGAGGCUUGGGUGCCGUUAUUGGUUAAGGAAGAACCGGUAAAUUCGUU